rnacentral:rRNA from 1 species
CCUACGGGUGGCAGCAGUGAGGAAUAUUGGUCAAUGGGCGUAAGCCUGAACCAGCCAAGUCGCGUGAGGGAUGAAGGUUCUAUGGAUCGUAAACCUCUUUUAUAAGGGAAUAAAGUGUGGGACGUGUCCUAUUUUGUAUGUACCUUAUGAAUAAGGAUCGGCUAACUCCGGUCCAGCAGCCGCGGUAAUACGGAGGAUCCGAGCGUUAUCCGGAUUUAUUGGGUUUAACGGGUGCGUAGGCGGCCUUUUAAGUCAGCGGUGAAAGUCUGUGGCUCAACCAUAGAAUUGCAGGUGAAAAUGGGGGGCUUGAGUAUGUUUGAGGCAGGCGGAAGGCGUGGUGUAGCGGUGAAAUGCUUAGAUAUCACGCAGAACCCCGAUUGCGAAGGCAGCCUGCCAAGCCAUGACUGACGCUGAUGCACGAAAGCGUGGGGAUCAAACAGGAUUAGAUACCCCUGUAGUC